ACAAAAGGUAGCCGCCCGGCGCGGCGUUUUGCCGGCAAGGCUCGUCCGUUGAUGCUUGGACGCAGAGACGAUUCCAGCGUUUAAAUCGUUGCGAAUGUGGUGUUAAUAGAGAACACGCACUGCUUCUGCGAGUUCGUGCGUUGGUGCUCACAUGUAGCUGCUACAACUCCUUGCAGGCAACAGCAGACGACUAGCACACAACGAUCAUCCUGUACACCUUGACAACACUUGAGUUAGCAGUACGACCUACAGAGGGCGGCCAUAUGAUCGUUUCCGCAGCUCACUUUAAGUACUUCAGCCACAAUGCUCACCUGUCAAAAAACGGAAAAAAUUUAUUCAAUUACUGAACGUUUAAAUUUGUACUCAAACUGAGGGUACACCAAGAUAAGGUACAGUCUCUGUAAUGAUGACAAAAUGAACAAGUGUGUGGGACCGAAAAUUCUAUCCUAAAGUGGAGGAUGUAUUAUGUGCCUGUUGCGACGAAUUGUUCUUUACUCUCAGCAGGAAGGGCUGGAACGACCUUUCCAAAGCGCUAGUUCUCAUCAACGACCCCAAUGCGUUCCGUAGUAAACCAUGCCCAUUUUUGUUUCACUGAAGCUUGUAGCCCAUCAUGUUCUCACUUGCUGCUUGCUAUGUGCCCUCACAUAACGCCAGAAGGUAUGUGAGGUAUCCACGUAAAUAAAUAAAACGUUGCACGAAAAUUGCUACUUGGU